GACGAACGCUGGCGGCGUGCUUAACACAUGCAAGUCGAACGGAAAGGCCCUUCUUUUGUGGGGUUCUCGAGUGGCGAACGGGUGAGUAACACGUGAGUAACCUGCCCUUGACUUUGUGAUAACUUCAGGAAACUGGGGCUAAUACCUGAUAGGAGCUCCUGCUGCAUGGUGGGGGUUGGAAAGUUUCGGCGGUUGGGGAUGGACUCGCGGCUUAUCAGCUUGUUGGUGGGGUAGUGGCUUACCAAGGCUUUGACGGGUAGCCGGCCUGUGAGGGUGAACGGCCACAUUGGGACUGAGAGACGGCCCAGACUGAAACGGGAGGCAGCAGUGGGGAAUAUUGCACAAUGGGCGGAAGCCUGAUGAAGCAACGCCGCGUGCGGGAUGACGGCAUUCGGGUUGUAAACAGCUUUCGCAUGUGACGAAGAGUGAGUGACGGUAAUGGGUAAAGAAGCACCGGCUAACUACGUG
rnacentral:rRNA from 1 species